CCCUUAGAUGUUCUGGGCCGCACGCGCGCUACACUGAUGCAUUCAACGAGUUUAUAACCUUGGUUGAAAAGCCUGGGUAAUCUUUUGAACUUUCGUCGUGAUGGGGCUAGACCCUUGCAAUUAUUGGUCUCCAACGAGGAAUUCCUAGUAAACGCAAGUCAUCAGCUUGCAUUGAUUACGUCCCUGCCCUUUGUACACACCGCCCGUCGCACCUACCGAUUGAAUGGUCCGGUGAAAUCUUCGGAUUGAGACUUUGAUUUCUUCACGGAAAACGCUGUUUUAAAAAGUUGAUUAAACCUUACCAUUUAGAGGAAGGUGAAGUCGUAACA
rnacentral:rRNA from 1 species